AGACACGGCCCAAACUCCUACGGGAGGCAGCAGUAGGGAAUCUUCCACAAUGGGCGAAAGCCUGAUGGAGCAACGCCGCGUGAGUGAAGAAGGUUUUCGGAUCGUAAAGCUCUGUUGCUGGUGAAGAAGGAUAGAGGUAGUAACUGGCCCCUAUUUGACGGUAAUCAACCAGAAAGUCACGGCUAACUACGUGCCAGCAGCCGCGGUAAUACGUAGGUGGCAAGCGUUGUCCGGAUUUAUUGGGCGUAAAGCGAGCGCAGGCGGAAAGAUAAGUCUGAUGUGAAAGCCCCCGGCUUAACCGAGGAAUUGCAUCGGAAACUGUGUUUCUUGAGUGCAGAAGAGGAGAGUGGAACUCCAUGUGUAGCGGUGGAAUGCGUAGAUAUAUGGAAGAACACCAGUGGCGAAGGCGGCUCUCUGGUCUGUAACUGACGCUGAGGCUCGAAAGCAUGGGUAGCGAACAGGAUUAGAUACCCUGGUAGUCCAUGCCGUAAACGAUGAGUGCUAAGUGUUGGGAGGUUUCCGCCUCUCA
rnacentral:rRNA from 1 species